GUGGGGAAUAUUGGGCAAUGGGCGCAAGCCUGACCCAGCAACGCCGCGUGAGGGAAGAAGGCCUUCGGGUUGUAAACCUCUGUCCUUAGGGACGAAAAAAAUGACGGUACCUAAGGAGGAAGCUCCGGCUAACUACGUGCCAGCAGCCGCGGUAAUACGUAGGGAGCAAGCGUUGUCCGGAAUUACUGGGCGUACAGGGUGCGUAGGCGGCUUGGCAAGUCAGAUGUGAAAUCCCCGGGCUUAACUCGGGGGGUGCAUUUGAAACUGCUGAGCUGGAGUGCAGGAGAGGAAAGCGGAAUUCCUAGUGUAGCGGUGAAAUGCGUAGAUAUUAGGAGGAACACCAGUGGCGAAGGCGGCUUUCUGGACUGUAACUGACGCUGAGGCACGAAAGCGUGGGGAGCAAACAGGAUUAGAAACCCCAGUAGUCC
rnacentral:rRNA from 1 species